AACGUAGGUUCCGAGCGUUAUCCGGAUUUACUGGGCGUAAAGCGCGUUCAGGCGGUUUGGCAAGUCGGGCAUGAAAUCUCUGGGCUCAACCCGGAGAGGUUGUCCGAUACUGCUAAACUGGAGGGCAGUAGAGGGUGGUGGAAUUCCGGGUGUAGUGGUGAAAUGCGUAGAGAUCCGGAGGAACACCAGUGGCGAAAGCGGCCACCUGGACUGCACCUGACGCUGAGGUGCGAGAGCGUGGGGAGCGAACCGG
rnacentral:rRNA from 1 species